GUUCUUCUCAUACUCCUCUUUGUACUUCACCUGAAGCCACAAGAACAGAAGCUCGUCAGAUACAGAAGUCGUGUGAAGCUGUGUGUGAAAAAUCAAUGU